AUGAUCAUUAUGGUUGGACUUAUUGUUAUUUUUGUUAUUCUUAUUUUCGUCCUCACUUGCCCCUUGAUUUGUGUUUUUCCUCAUUUAUUUUCGUCUCUUUCCUCCUGCAAAUUUGCAAUAUUUCCCGGCUGUAAAUUGCGCGUGUGUACGGGCAGCUCUUCGGCACCGCUUCCCCGGCUCUGGCCGCCUGUCAACGGGCCUCGGCGCGCGCCAUCAGCCGGUGAUGGAUGGAUGCAGCUCUCUGCCUCCUCCAGCCACCACCGAACAACAAGCUGCCUCCCUCUAAGCCGUGGAGAGUGGCCUCCUUGAUCCUAUGGAAGCUGUUUGAAGAGUUUCAGCGGCCGCGCCGGCUCUGACUGACAGCCGAGCGCCGCUGGCCGCUCCCCGGCCCGAAUCCCCCGGCUUUGGGCCUCUGCAGCCGGCUCUCAUCCAGACGUGAUCCCACAGAGGAAAGCCGCAACGCCGUCAGGACGGAUUUGAGAGUCCUCGCUCAUCCCAGGGAUGUCCAAAGUGCUUUCACAGUGGGUGAACCCCUCCAACCCCCCCUCCCCCAUCCCUCCCUCACUCCCAGCAGCCUCAGACAACUCAACUACAGUUUGACAAGCAAGUGUGUGUCCACCAGGUAGGUGAGUGUAUACGUUCACCCAAGAAAAGGCUUUUCUGUUCUUCGCAUAAAAAGUACCGUAGUUGUACCGUAGCGUGUAUAGCGUCACUAUGGCGACGUUUAUAAAGAGAAUGCAUAUGGAACUCAGUUAAAAUGUUUCAGUUGAGUAACAUGUGGGAGCUAUAAUCCAAUGAUCCAUUACAUCACUUAAUGUUUGGCUCACAACUCCCCAACUGUGAGGCCUGCAUGCUAUUUCUGUUGCCUGCCCACAGUUAAAGGCCUAAAUGGGCAUUUACAUUUUUUGGCAAAAUAUCUUUUUUUGGAAAGUCCUUCUUUGAACUUUAUCUUUAUCUAACCAUGUAUCUUCCUUUAAUGUGUUGUUUUAUUUACAAUAUUUAAUUGAUUCAAGUACACAAUGCACAUCAUAAUUGAGGUUUAUAUUAGCAGCAGUGCAUUCCAAUACAAUUAUAUAUUUGUUUAUAACUUAUAUAACACACAUGUUAUUAUGUAUAAAUCUACAAAGCAGGAAAGGGUUUACGACACAACUAGUACAGACACAGCAGUAAAUACAGUUUCCAAGUCUAUUUGACACAUAACUCUGUAACACAUUAAGCAAUUCCAACCAACAACACACAUGCACGUUCCUACUAAUCUCGCAAAAUCUGAAUUAGCUAAAUGAUGAAUGCAGCAAUUUAAGAGCUACACUGAUACACUGAAUGUGUGUAAGGCAAAAUAAUAGAAUUACUCCAAAAAGUGGACCAUGGAAUACUUUUUUGUCUUUAAUGAUUUUGUUACAAUCUGCAUGACCAUUGAAGUUAUGUUUGUUUUUGUUUUUUUGUUUGUUCCCCUCUUGAAAAGUAUUCCAGGGCAAUGGGCAAGGUUCUUUGUUUGGUGCAACUCUUCCCCCCCCGGAUCAUUAUUCAGUGAACAUGUGUGUCAGGAGACAGACAGGACAUUGACUGGGUCAGGAAAUGGCUGCCGUGUGUAGACAUUAGAGUGGGAGCUGAACUUCAUUGAUAAAUCUCUUUCAGUCCCAGAAGAGGAAGGAAGCAGCGCAGGCUGCGGGGACGGAGACGCUAUGGAUCCAGUAUUGGGACAGGAGUCCAGCCACUGCCAGCCAUUGAUCAGGAUCACAAUCAAUCAGGAAACCAUUGAGCAGCCUGCUCCAAAAAUAGAGUGAAAAAGCACCUGAGAGUGCUCAGUGAACCCUCAGAGUCACAGCUGACCGGAGUUCACAUCGCUGCUGUGAACCUUCGUAAUGAAGCGUAAAGGUUAAUGCCAUUCAAAUUUCUCAAAUCUCAUUGAUAUGUUUCCUUGUUCCCGGGGUCAAUUCCUCUUCCCCUGGAGCCAGACAUCUUUUAGCUAAACGCAUCAGAUAGAAACCUGGAGGACCAGUGUCGCUGUGGAAUAAUCCCAAUAUCUUUUCCAGAGAAGGAGAAUAGUUCUACAAAAGUGUCAUUUUUUUAAUGUUGCAUUAUUCCUUCUUAAGCGCGUAACUAACUACAGUUUGAUUCCUAAACUAUUGAAGCCUCUCACUUUGAACCUUUUGCCCAGUGGACGAUUCAUGUCAAACAUAUGUAGUUAGAUGUCAAGUGUUUGUUAAAAAGUGAAGAUGCACUGAAGUGGUAGCAUUUUAAAUACAUUUGGUGGUUAUAGGAACAUGUCAAGGAAACCGAGAGAUAGAAGAAAUUAUUUUUAUGUUAUUUUUCUGGAGCCAGUGUUUUCCUUUACAAACAUUUCUUGGUCAAAUAUUCCUACAAACCUUUUGUUGCUCUUGCAAUACCCUGCAAACAUUCAGCAAAUGUAAGAAAACACGUGAUUGUUGUUUUUUGUGAAUGUUCUGGCACAGGAUGUAAACCUCAGGCAUCAGUCAUUUCAGCAUAGUGUCAGUCAACAUCGUGCAAUACAUAAUAUAACGUGAACGGUUUCCCUCAAUGACUUGAGGUGUGUCUCGGAAAAUAACAAAUGUAAAAAAAAUACCUACCUCUGUGUGCCGAUUUCCUACACUGUAACAAAUUGCUGUAAAUUUCUGGUGCAUUUCUAACGGUAUCUUACAGUAUGUCAUAAUAACUGUGACAUACAGUUAAAUUUCCAUCCCUUGCUUGUAAAUUAACGGCCAAUAUCAUGAAUAAACAGUUAAAGAUGUCCAUUUUCAAUAAUAGCAGACUACCGUAAUUCAACUGCAUGUUACAUAUAUUUUAUGAAGUGGUGGAAAUACACAUACAAGUGCAGUAAAUCACAAUCCAUCUACAUCUUUUGUAGGUUAAUGUAUGGAAGCCCAUGUCAGCCACUGAAAAACAGGUCCUGUAAGUCAUCAUAAUGAGAUAUGAGUAUCUCAUGAGAUACGAUGAUGACUUUGACUUACGGGACAUUACUAUACAUGCAGCUGUCACUUUUAUCCAAAACGCCCAUGGUAAAAUGCAUGUAAAAUGCCCAUGCAAAAGUAUACGGUUAUAAGUAAACGGUAACACUCUGGUAUUUAUAACACAAAAACAGUAAUCGUACGGUAAUAAACUAUAAUCCAAUAUACGACAAUUAAAUUUUGGUAGGACACUGUAAAUAAAACAGUAAGUUACUAGCGUCGACUGCCAGUAAAUUGCAGUUAAUUCACAGUAAAAUUCGUUCAAGUUUACGGUAACAUACAGUAAUCCAUUUUACGGUAACGUAGUGUAAAAACCAUUUACGGUAUUAUACCGUAGAAUAACGGUAAAUUCCUGGCGUCCUCACUGCCAGUAAAAUACCCUUAAUUUAUGGUGAAAUUUUUUAGAGUUUACCUGUACUCGGCACAACUUACAGGCCGAGAGAAUCCCUUUAUUAACACUUGUCAUUGGUACGUUCCGCGCCCCAUUCAAACCAGUAGAACCGGGCCUGCACAGUAAUCGUGUAACCUUUGAACAUCUAGAGUUCUGUGACAACUGAGGAUAAUUUAUCUGCUGAUGAAGACAGUGCGAAAAGCUAAAACCUCCAAAAGAAGUGAGUAAGCCGAGUAAGUUGGGAUUGGUUCGCUAAAGUCGCUUACCUGUCCUGCCCUACAUCCACACAGUUUGCCCUCUGCCCAAAAUACCCUGUUGUUUGGACUGCGGUUUAGGCUUAAACACCCAGAUAAAGGAAAACUCUAGAGGGAAAGAGGGUUUUGCUUUUAUUCUCUUACUCAUCACAUUUUUAACUGUUUUUUCCAACCUUUGUACACACACACACACACACACACACACAGAGCAGCUGACCCACAUAAAAGCCAUUUUACAGUUUUAGCCCAAAAUAUCCAGAGUUACAUGGAGUCCAAAAAACCCCAUGAGUACAACAAAGGCAUACCUGUGUGAUAACAGGGGAAUAGACGUGAUCCCCUGGAGAGAAAUAUCACUUUUAGCAGUCGCACUUUGUUUUGGAGCCAGCGAGCCGACGGAGGCGCCAAUGAGGAGUAAAUCGUUAAAUGUUCCUGGGUUUGUGUGUUAAAGUCUAACAGAGAGAAGGACGAGGUCAGUGGAAGACUAGGGAGGAGGAAGGCCAAUGCGAGGGAGGCCAAUGCGGUCCUGCCCACGGGAGAUAAGUGUCUGUCCACUUCCACUUUAUACACCAGACCCUGAGAAUAUGUACAGUAUGUAUAUAUAUAUAUAUGGAGGUGCACAGACACACUAUCCAGUUUAUCUGCUGGAGGAGGUUUACACGGACCUCACAUCCUGAGCCCAGCACACACACACAAAUGCAUAUUUUACACACAUGAACAUAUCUAAAGAUAGCGUUAAAUGUGACUGGGACAGCGUGCAUCCGACGGUGGCUGUGUGUAAAAUCGGCCUGACUAAGCUCUGAAUUUACAUGGCUAAGCAAAGUUGUUAACCCUGGGAGGCCGGGCCAGAGAGGGAGCUAAUGGGAUUUCUCUGUUAAUGAAAUUUAUGAAAGCGAGUGAGAGAAAGAGAGAGGGAAGGUGUGAGGAAGGGAUAGAAAGAUAGAAGACGUAGAAGCAGGCAAGGACCAUGGAGUUCUUUCAAAGUGUUUUUGGCAGCGCGUAAUUGUGUUUACAUAUACAUAUUUUAUGCACAAUUAAAAAGAAUAGCCGGCAGAAAAAUUCGAAAAUGUGUCACAAAAAUGUUGGCUGAGGUGGAGGAGUUAGCAAGUAGAAGAUGCUCGAGCUCAUCCUGCAGGGGCUCAGUCUGACAUACAGUUGUUGGUUCAUAGUGUCACUACAUUUAAUCACUUCCUGCUUUAAUAAUUUGUAGUUUUAAUUGUAUCCUUCCUAACCGAAGGGAGGCAUUUAUCACAGCGUAACAUCACAACCUCUUACCCGAUCACUCUAUUCACACAUUCUGACAGAUGCAGUUGACAUGUUGGUUUGGUUUCGGCCUCCAGGCUGUGUGAGCUGCAUCUCUAAACACAAACCUUGCAGCAGCAGGAAGCUCUUGUUCCUCCCGUUUGCCCCGCAAUGAGUGGGCAGAAGAUUGUGAUGAGCGUGGAAAGAAGAAGGGGGCAAGUGUUGAAGUGAGUGAGGGUGUGCUGAUGGGGGAGGAAAAUUACCCCCGAGUCCGCACAUUCUCUCCUGCGUAAACACACACACACACACACACA
ensembl:lncRNA